rnacentral:rRNA from 1 species
UUGCUGCUUUGCUGACGAGUGGCUGACGGGUGAGUAAUGUCUGGGAAACUGCCUGAUGGAGGGGGAUAACUACUGGAAACGGUAGCUAAUACCGCAUAACGUCGCAAGACCAAAGAGGGGGACCUUAGGGCCUCUUGCCAUCGGAUGUGCCCAGAUGGGAUUAGCUAGUAGGUGGGGUAACGGCUCACCUAGGCGACGAUCCCUAGCUGGUCUGAGAGGAUGACCAGCCACACUGGAACUGAGACACGGUCCAGACUCCUACGGGAGGCAGCAGUGGGGAAUAUUGCACAAUGGGCGCAAGCCUGAUGCAGCCAUGCCGCGUGUAUGAAGAAGGCCUUCGGGUUGUAAAGUACUUUCAGCGGGGAGGAAGGGAGUAAAGUUAAUACCUUUGCUCAUUGACGUUACCCGCAGAAGAAGCACCGGCUAACUCCGUGCCAGCAGCCGCGGUAAUACGGAGGGUGCAAGCGUUAAUCGGAAUUACUGGGCGUAAAGCGCACGCAGGCGGUUUGUUAAGUCAGAUGUGAAAUCCCCGGGCUC